rnacentral:lncRNA from 10 species
AUUUAAUAUUAGGUAUAUCUCCUAAUGCUAUCCCUCCCCCCUCCCCCCACCCCACAACAGGCCCCGGUGUGUGAUGUUCCCCUUCCUGUGUCCAUUUGUUCUCAUUGUUCAAUUCCCACCUAUGAGUGAGAACAUGCAGUGUUUGGUUUUUUGUCCUUGUGAUAAUUUGCUGAGAAUGAUGGUUUCCAGCUUCAUCCAUGUCCCCACAAAGGACAUGAACUCAUCCUUUUUUAUGGCUGCAUAGUAUUCCAUGGUGUAUAUGUGCCACAUUUUCUUAAUCCACUCUAUCAUUGUUGGACAUUUGGGUUGGUUCCAAGUCUUUGCUAUUGUCAAUAGUGC